GACGAACGCUGGCGGCGUGCUUAACACAUGCAAGUCGAACGAAGAGCGAUGGAAGCUUGCUUCUAUCAAUCUUAGUGGCGAACGGGUGAGUAACGCGUAAUCAGCCUGCCCUUCAGAGGGGGACAACAGUUGGAAACGACUGCUAAUACCGCAUACGAUCUAAUCUCGGCAUCGAGGAUAGAUGAAAGGUGGCCUCUACAUGUAAGCUAUCACUGAAGGAGGGGAUUGCGUCUGAUUAGCUAGUUGGAGGGGUAACGGCCCACCAAGGCGAUGAUCAGUAGCCGGUCGGAGAGGAUGAACGGCCACAUUGGGACUGAGACACGGCCCAGACUCCUACGGGAGGCAGCAGUGGGGAAUCUUCCGCAAUGGACGAAAGUCUGACGGAGCAACGCCGCGUGAGUGAUGACGGCCUUCGGGUUGUAAAGCUCUGUUAAUCGGGACGAAAGGCCUUCUUGCGAAUAGUGAGAAGGAUUGACGGUACCGGAAUAGAAAGCCACGGCUAACUACGUG
rnacentral:rRNA from 1 species